CUAUCAACCACUAGCGCAGCAGAAACAUCUACAAUAACAGAGACCUCCACAAUCACAACGACUGCAGCAGAAACAUCUACAACAACAGAGUUUUUAAAUGAAUUGAAAAUAGAGCUGGUGCUUUACUCGAACGAUUUAUUUACUGAUGAACUCUCAUAUUCACAAUCUUCUGCUUUCAAAAACAGGGCUCAUUUGUUUGAAGAUUUACUGGCAAAGCUUUUCCUGAAGUUUCCUUCCUUCCUAAGAGUCACUGUGCUAAACUUCAGGAAGGGCUCCAUCAUUACCACAACAGAUAUCAUUUUCAACUCUACACAUGAUGAUGUUCCAUCAGAGGAACAAGUUGCAAUCACAUUACUGAAUGAAAAAGCAACUCUCAAUGCCCUGAACAUAACUUAUUUUACAGUUAAUG